GAAAGGGGAAAGAUAGAGAGCAUGAGAACUUUAUCUUUGAUAAAGUUUGGAUUUUUGAGAGGUUUAUUCGAGAAAUACACCUGGAAGAUAAAACUGCCAUCCGGUCAUCAUCCGGUGAAAAUCUGAAGGAGAUAAAAAUAUAUUUUUGUUAUACGAGGGAAUCGGCCAGUUUUGUUAUCUGAGAAAUCAGAUUCUGGAUCUCUUUACUGUGGACUGCAUUAAUCUGGAACUUCGAAUGUGCAUAGUGUGAGAUGGCGAGCCACCAUGAGACACCUACUUUUCUUCUGUUGAUAUCUGCGUUGCAAUUUCUACAAAUUGUUUCACUGGAUUAUUGAAGGUUUGAUUAUUGAAGCACUGGAACAUUCAUUCUAAGGAACUGAUGAAAGAGAAAUUAUUAAUCUCAUUUGAACUGAUAUACUUGAUUUUUGUGCCUUGUUGAACUAUACACUCCAAGGAGUUUCUUGGUAUUUGAGUUUAUUUCGUUAAUUAUACGAAUUGUUACUCUACUUUUAGAGUUGGUUUGCUUUCUUUUACAUUCCUUUUAUUUUAAUUUGUUUAUAUUGUGAUAUUGUUAUACUAAAAUUUUCUUUUCUUUGGUAACAAUUAUAAACACAACAUACAUAAACAUUUACAUUCAAACUAUAUAUAUAUAUACGUGUGUGUGUGUGUGCCAUUGCCUCCUACGAACCGCGUUGUCUUCUGAUCUAU